rnacentral:tRNA from 1 species
CGAGGUGUAGCGCAGUUGGUAGCGCGCCUGCUUUGGGAGCAGGAUGCCGGGGGUUCGAGUCCCUUCACCUCGACCA